rnacentral:rRNA from 1 species
AUUGAACGCUGGCGGCAGGCCUAACACAUGCAAGUCGAGCGCGCGGCGGACGGGGGAGUAAUGUAUGGGGACUGCCCGAUAGAGGGGGAUAACUACUGGAAACGGUAGCUAAUACCGCAUACCAUAGGAUAACCCAUAUGGGAUUAGCUAGUAGGUGAGGUAAUGGGUCACCAAGGCGACGAUCCCUAGCUGGUCUGAGAGGAUGAGCAGCCACACUGGGACUGAGACACGGCCCAGACUCCUACGGAGGCAGCAGGGGGGAAUAUUGCACAAUGGGCGCAAGCCUGAUGCAGCCAUGCCGCGUGUAUGAAGAAGGCCCUAGGGUUGUAAAGUACUUUCAGUCGGGAGGCGUUACCGGCAGAAGAAGCACCGGCUAACUCCGUGCCAGCAGCCGCGGUAAUUC